UCUGCUGAACAAAGUUUUUCCAAGAGGAUCUCACUCUCUCUCUUUUCACUCACCUGCUUAACUCUCUUGACUUCUUUUCAGAAUAUUUUCCGGCCGUCCCUCAUUUCAUCAAAGAGUCUACCAGAUCGACAUUUUCCACUUUGCUUCCAUUUCCAGUAUGCUUCCUGUUGUCUUAGUCGAAUAUUGUUAUCCCGUCCAUGGAGCCAAACUCGUCUGUACUUCUUCUUUGGAAUACUAUUUUGCCCUGCAGUACGUAGUGCAUGGGUAGUACUUUCACAGUAUGGUUCCAAGAGUGGUUUGUGACAACACCGGUCUGGUUGAAUAAAAGAAUUGCAUCCCACGGUAUCUCUAUAUCUGAUAGGCGCCUAUCCAAUUCCCAUUGGUCUCUAAGUAAGUCCAGGUCUUGACACUGUUGCCAAUUACAAACCAAAUGGUUAUGUCUGACAUUGGAGGUCUUUACAGUAUGUUGACUAUCAUCCAAUUGAAUCAAUAGUCGUAAUUACAAUUUGUGUAGAUAUCAAAGGAUUUUUCUGGAAAUGAUUGUUUUGAGACAUGGAAGUGUAUUGCAAGGAAUGUGAGAAAUGUCAAAAAUAUCCACAGCGACAAAUGCCAACCUCAGAAUUUCAUCCUAUUUCAGUCAGUGAUGUGUGGAAGCAUGUUGCCAUUGAUAUGGUUGGCCCACUUCCUGUCACCAGCAAAGGAAACAAGUAUAUGAUAACACUGGUUUAUUUACUUGUCUAAAUGACCUGAGGCAAACCAGUUGGGGCGCGUUUCCACUAGUGCUUAAACUGGUUUAAGAAGUAGUUUAAGCUAAACUGGUUUAAGAAUUGACCUGUUUCCACCUGCACUAAACCAGUUAUAUUUUUAAACUUAAAUCGCUUUCCUAAGCCUACUUCAAAGUAAGUUUAGCAAAGUGGUUUAGGUUUAACUAUCACGUGACAGUAGCCUGCGUGCUUGAAGAUGCCUUCUGAUGACGUUGUUUUGGUGAUUUUGACUAUUAUUGUGUUGGUAUGGGAUUGCAUUAAAAGAUGCAUUGCAAAAGAAAUGAGAGAGAUCAGCAGCUACUGAGAGAGAGAAGAUGGCGUUUUUCUGUAUCACCGGCGGAAGCAACAGAAUAUAGAACAGUAGCUCAUCUUUUUGGCAUUGGCAAGACAAUUGCUCAUCGAAUUGCAAGGGAGUUUUGCGAUGCUGUUUCAAGUCAUCUUUUUUUGCAAAUUAAAAAGCCAACCGGGAGAGAGCUUCAGAAAAUCAUUGAAAGUUUUGAGCAUAUUUGUGGACUACCUCAAGUAGCUGGUGCUAUUGAUGGGACACACAUUGAGAUAACUGCACCUACUGACUGUCCUGAAGAUUAUGUCAACAGAAAAGGGUACCAUUCUCUGCAAGUUCAAGCACUAGUCAACUCAUCAAUUAGGUUUACAGACAUUUUUGCAGAGUACCCUGGAAGUGUACAUGACACUCGAGUAUUUCGAAUAGUCCUUUGUAUAAAGUUGGCUGAAAGGGAAUAUAAAUUGGCUGAAAGGGAAGGAGGAGUAUUUCCUGAAGUUCCCACUGUUUAAAUCUUCGGAGUUGAUGUUCUGGCAAUUAUUUUAGGAGAUACGGCUUAUCCUUUUACUUGCAUGGCUCUUGAAACCAUUCCUAGGAAGUAUAGACAUGUCAGAGGCAAAACGAAAUUUCAAUUACAAGUAUAGCAGUACUCAGAUGGUGGUAGAGAGAUCGUUUGGAAUGCUCAAGGGAAGGUGGAGGUGCCUGGGAGCAUGCUUAAAUGAAACUGUUGAAAAUGCUAUUACAAAUAUUGUUGCCUGUUGAACUCUCCACAACUAUUGCCUAAGUCAUGGAGAUGGUGUUGAAGAUGAGUGGGUAAAUUGUUCUCCAAAUCCUGGCUGGCCAGCAACAAGAGAAACUGACAGUUUUGUAGGCAUGACACAAGAAAAUGUGCAACCUAUUAGACAGGCUGUGGUGCAUUAUAUUAUGUAAGUAAAGAGGUUGUAAUGCUUUACACAAUCAGUAUGAUGUAAAGCAACCAGUGAAAUGAAUCUGAGAGUUCUUGAUCGUAUUGCCCACUGUCAAGUUAUUCAUAAACUCCAUCUGCUUUUUAUCCUGCUCUUCCUCCCAUAAUCUUCUAUCUUCUUUUUUCUUGUUUCCUCCUCUCUGGUCAUUGUUGUAUCAUCCAGUUCUUUCAGGGCCUUUGUCAUCACGAACAGAACUUGUUCAGUCUUAGAUCUUUUAGCACUUCGUUUCUUUGCUGCAAAGAAAUCCUGCAGUACAGACUAGUUGAUCUAUUUAUUUUGGAUAUUGUAGUUACCAUUCAAUGGGCCAGUAGGGUCUCUUCAUUUCUCUGUAGUCUGCACUCCCCACAUCUUCCACAAUAGCACCAACGUCUGAAUCCACUCCAACAGUGUUGGCAGAUUCUUCUGACCUUUCUUGGUCAUGAUCAUGAGAGGCUGGGCUAUCAAGGUUGCUGCAGUCCUUGAACUCUUUGGUAUUUUGGUUGUCCUGUGUGUCUAGAGAUGUAUCCCAACUGCUGACUGAGACGGAAGGAGCUCCUGACCUUCUUUGGCCAAUAAUCUAGUAAUUAAAUCACACGGGGAGGGGAGUCAUUACAAUUGAGCCAAUAGUAGGAUAGUUUUAGAAAAAUUUUAUCUAUACCUAGUCAUCACAUCAUAGAAUGGCCAGCGUAUGCCUCCUUUUCCUGUUUUUUUCCAUUGUGCCAUCUUUUAUCUUUUGUAUUGCGUUUCUAAAUUUUAAUUCGACUCUUACUUACUGCUCCCAAGUUCUUGCAUAUCUGUUGUCAGCCAUAUCUCGAGAAAUCUCUUCCCAAAUAGGUUGAUUCCUCCAAAUCUCUAAAUCUUCUCUGUAUUUCUGCUUGUCCCCAUAUGUUCAACAACGUGCUACUUUCAUCCUCUGCCCAAGAUGACCCACGUGCUUGACGAUGUCCUUGGUCAUCUUCAUGCCUAGUAGUAGAUCCGGAGGCGGCUGCUGCAUUAGCAACAGCUAUAAGUUGGUCUGAUUCGGCUACAGAGCAGCCUAACGCAUCCGAACAAGCUUCGAUUCAAGAAUAUUGCAACAUUACUCUACACGGAUUUGUCCCAGAUAUGUCACACAUCACGUGGCUAGGAAAGUUCGUAGUGGAAACAGUCUCUCUCUUAAACUGGUUUAGUUUUUAAACCUGUUUAAGCUAAACUAGUUUAACGUGCAGCUAGUGGAAACACAGCCUUACUGACAAAAAAGCUGCAUCUGUGGCCACUUUUCUCUUUGAAACGUUUUGCUGUCAUGGAUGGUCAGAGGUUAUCAUAUCUGACCAGGUUCGUGAAUUUGUGAAUCAAGUUACUGCAGAGUUGUGUGAGAGGACAGGAAUUGAACAUAGAAUAAGUAGCCCAUAUCAUCCACAGACUAAUGAACUUGUUGAACAGUUCAAGCAGACACUCAUGAAUGGUCUGAAGAAAGUGACUGAUAAACAGAGUGAUGACUGGGAUGACAAAAUCGAUUCAGUACUCUAUAUAAGUAUAUCCAAUCAAGUAUCUUAAUUAAUUAGUUUGGGAACUGUUGGUUGUCACUACAUAUAUGUAUGGUGAUAAUUGUAUUGUUCUAGGAUAUCUCAGCGGGCUUCUAAAUUUCUCCAUUUCUUUCUUUUUUAUGAUCGACAUCCAAGAACAGUAACUGUGCAUUUACUAUACACAAAAGGAGUUGAAGACAUGGAUGUUCAUGUUGAACUCACUUUUGAAGACCAGGUUGACAGAACUAUUGAGCUUCAUCUUGAGAAUGUAUACUAGAUAGCCGAGCAGAAUAUCAAGGGAGCUCAAAGCAGACAGAAGCAACAGUACGAUAGCAAACACCAGGCUCUAAAGUGGACAGGUAUAUGACGUUGGAUCGCUUCUGUUGCUACGAAAUGUGAAACUCAAUCAUCAAAUGGGUGGCAAAAUGGAUGCUGCUUGGCUAGGGCCAUACCACAUUGCUGAAGUAUUGCCAAAGGGAAGGUAUCGCUUGAGAAUUGCUGAAGGGAAAGUAAUGAAAAAGGUCUACAAUAGCACACUUCUAAAAGUCCUUUGUUUCCAGUCAACAAUAGCAGGAACAACAGCAGCAGCAGCAGCAGCAGAACAGAAACAGGAGAACCAGCAACAACAGGAACAAGAACAGGAGGUCCAGCAGCAGCAGCAACAACAACAACAACAACAACAGCAAUAGGACCAUGAAGACCAGCAACAACAACAGACGCAACAGCAACAACGCUAUUGAUCUAAGUGUUUUGGACAGCCCAGCACUUUGACUUGAUGACGGAAUUAUCAAUCAUGCUCAGCAACUUUUGAAGAAACAGUUUCCCCAGCAAAGUGGGUUUCAAGAUUCUCUUUUGUCCCAAGGAUGCAAAUUUUCAGUUUCGAGGUAUAGCUGCUCAAUCCACAUGCACUGUGUUGCAACACGGAAUCACUGGGUUGUAACAUCAAGUACGUAGACAGCAGCCAUCACCCUUUAUGACAGUCGGAGACACACUGGCGACUGCAUAUCAAGUGAUCUGCAGCAACAAAUUUCAAUCAUAUACAGAACAGAUGAACCAUAGAUUAGUGUAUCUGUAGCUGCAGCGCAACAACAACAAGAAGGAAGUGACUGUGAGGUACAAAGUGGAGUGAGGAAACAUCUAAAAUAUGUUUGCUAUGAGGAGUAAUAACUGCCUUUCCAAAGACCUUUUCUUCACGGAAACAAAGACCUGUUUUAAGAUGUCGAAGUACUGUUUUGACUUUCUGUGUCUACUGUGUGUGCAGAAUGUCUGAACAUUUUCAAGGAAAAUGGUUCAAUGUGACUUAUGCAAUAGGUGGUUUCAUUUCAAGUGUGUCGGUUUAAAACGGCCUGGUAAACAGUUUGUUGUCUUUCUUGCAGAGCUGUCAAGCAGAACUAAGUAAGAGACUGAAAAUUUGAUUAGAGUUUAGUGAGAGUUGUGUUAUAAUGUGGCAUGCUAUUGAAGUUUGAUAUUCAUAUAAAUGAAAGGUUUAAGAGAUAACAAAUAGAUAUUUAA